GGUCAGGCUGAAGACUUACCCGAUUAGCUGAGAGGUGGUGCAUGGCCGUCGUCAGUUCGUACUGUGAAGCAUCCUGUUAAGUCAGGCAACGAGCGAGACCCACGUCCACAGUUGCCAGCAUACCCUCCGGGGUGAUGGGUACACUGUGGAGACCGCCGCUGCUAAAGCGGAGGAAGGAGUGGGCAACGGUAGGUCAGUAUGCCCCGAAUCUCCCGGGCUACACGCGGGCUACAAUGGUUGGUACAAUGGGCAUCUACCCCGAAAGGGGAAGGAAAUCUCUUAAAGCCAAUCGUAGUUCGGAUUGAGGGCUGCAACUCGCCCUCAUGAAGCUGGAAUCCGUAGUAAUCGCGUUUCAACAGAACGCGGUGAAUACGUCCCUGCUCCUU
rnacentral:rRNA from 1 species